rnacentral:rRNA from 1 species
UACAGAGGUCUCAAGCGUUGUUCGGAUUCAUUGGGCGUAAAGGGUGCGUAGGCGGCGCGGUAAGUCGGGUGUGAAAUCUCGGAGCUUAACUCCGAAAACUGCAUUCGAUACUGCCGUGCUUGAGGACUGGAGAGGAGACUGGAAUUUACGGUGUAGCGGUGAAAAUGCGUAGAUAUCGUAAGGAAGACCAGUGGCGAAAGGCGGGUCUCUGGACAGUUCCUGACGCUGAGGCACGAAGGUCAGGGAGCAAACGGGA